rnacentral:rRNA from 1 species
AUAGCAAUUGGUGGUGGCAUCAGUCUUAUAUGUCUAGGGCUUUGUAUCAUAUUUGUUUGUCGGAAGUUAAGGAGUCUGCAAGCUAAGAGACUCAAGUCGAAGUACUUCGAACUAAAUCGGGGUUUGUUGUUACAACAAUUGGUGGACAAAGACAUUGCUGAAAGAAUGAUAUUUAGCUUAGAAGAACUAGAGAAGGCAACCGAGAAAUUUGACGAGUCCCGCAAACUUGGUGGUGGUGGCCAUGGUAUUGUGUACAAAGGAAUACUAUCAAAUAAGGAUGUGGUUGCCAUCAAGAAAUCCAAAAUUACUAUUCAAAGAGAAAUAGAAGAUUUCAUAAAUGAGGUGGCCAUCCUUUCACAAAUCAACCAUCGAAAUGUCGUGAGGUUGUUUGGGUGCUGCCUUGAGACACAAGUCCCGCUAUUAGUUUAUGAGUUCAUUUCAAAUGGAACUCUUUCUGACUAUCUCCAUGUUGAAGGCCCAAGAUCCUUGUCUUGGAGGGAUCGAGUGAGGAUUGCUCUUGAAACUGCAAGUGCUUUGUCCUAUUUGCACUCUUCCGCUUUAACAUCGAUAAUCCAUAGAGAUGUUAAAUCUGCGAACAUUCUACUUGAUCAUCGUUUAACUGCUAAAGUAUCAGAUUUUGGAGCUUCUCGAGGUAUUGCUAUCGAUCAGACAGGACUGAAUACUGCCAUCCAAGGUACAUUUGGGUACCUAGACCCUGAGUACUACCAAACAAGUAGGUUGACUGAUAAAAGUGAUGUUUAUAGCUUUGGUGUCAUACUUGUGGAGCUUCUCACAAGAAAGAAACCAUAUGCUUUCAUGCACUCAGAAGGCGUAAGCCUUAUUGCACAGUUCAACUUGGUAUUAAGGCAAGAUAAACUAUGUGAGAUAUUAGAUCUUCAAAUCAUCUCAGAGUGUCUGGAGGGUGCAAAAGAGGUCGCAGCACUGGCAUCGACAUGCCUAAACUUGAAGGGUGAAGAGAGGCCAACCAUGAGGCAAGCGCAGAUGACACUAGAAAGGUUGUUGCUGGCAAAUAAAAACAUUGAAGAAGGGUAUCCAGAUGAGCUAAAUUGCACAUUAGCUCAAAUCAGGAACAACAAUGACAACAAUAGCAGGCAGCACAGUGCUGAGCAGGAACUCAUACAAUCAGCAAGCUUUCCUCGAUGA